rnacentral:rRNA from 1 species
GGGGGAUAUUGCACAAUGGGGGAAACCCUGAUGCAGCGAUGCCGCCUGAGUGAAGACGGCCCUUUCGGGUUGUAAAGCUCUGUUCGCAGAGGACGAAAAUGACGGUACUCUGUAAGAAAGCUCCCGGCUAAAUAC